GCAGCCGCGGUAAUACGUAGGUGGCAAGCGUUGUCCGGAUUUACUGGGUGUAAAGGGUGCGCAGGCGGGACUGCAAGUUGGAUGUGAAAAUCCGAGGCUCAACCUCGGAACUGCAUCCAAAACUGUGGUUCUUGAGUGGAGCAGAGGUAAGCGGAAUUCCGAGUGUAGCGGUGAAAUGCGUAGAUAUUCGGAGGAACACCAGUGGCGAAGGCGGCUUACUGGGCUCUAACUGACGCUGAGGCACGAAAGUGUGGGUAGCAAACAGGAUUAGAUACCCC
rnacentral:rRNA from 1 species